GAUGAACGCUGGCGGCGUGCCUAAUUCAUGCAAGUCGAGCGAACAGACGAGGAGCUUGCUCCUCUGACGUUAGCGGCGGACGGGUGAGUAACACGUGGAUAACCUACCUAUAAGACUGGGAUAACUUCGGGAAACCGGAGCUAAUACCGGAUAAUAUAUUGAACCGCAUGGUUCAAUAGUGAAAGACGGUUUUGCUGUCACUUAUAGAUGGAUCCGCGCCGCAUUAGCUAGUUGGUAAGGUAACGGCUUACCAAGGCAACGAUGCGUAGCCGACCUGAGAGGGUGAUCGGCCACACUGGAACUGAGACACAGUCCAGACUCCUACGGGAGGCAGCAGUAGGGAAUCUUCCGCAAUGGGCGAAAGCUUGACGGAGCAACGCCGCGUGAGUGAUGAAGGUCUUCGGAUCGUAAAACUCUGUUAUUAGGGAAGAACAAAUGUGUAAGUAACUAUGCACGUCUUGACGGUACCUAAUCAGAAAGCCACGGCUAACUACGUG
rnacentral:rRNA from 1 species